rnacentral:rRNA from 1 species
UACGGAGGAUCCGAGCGUUAUCCGGAUUUAUUGGGUUUAAAGGGUGCGCAGGCGGAAGAUUAAGUCGGUGGUGAAAUUUUGCAGCUCAACUGUAAAAGUGCCAUUGAUACUGGUUUUCUUGAGUGUGGAUGAAGUAGGCGGAAUUUGUGGUGUAGCGGUGAAAUGCAUAGAUAUCACGAGGAACUCCGAUUGCGCAGGCAGCUUACUAAACUACAACUGACGCUCAUGCACGAAGGCGUGGGGAUCAAACAGGAUUAGA